rfam:Echinostoma caproni strain Egypt genome assembly, scaffold: ECPE_scaffold0000400
GCACUGCUGACGAGUCCCAAACAGGACGAAACAGGUGCUGUCCAGUAC